CUCCUGGAAACGGGUGGUAAUACCGGAUGCUCCGCCCCACCGCAUGGUGGGGUGGGAAAUGCUUUUUGCGGCAUGGGAUGGGGUCGCGUCCUAUCAGCUUGUUGGCGGGGUGAUGGCCCACCAAGGCGUUGACGGGUAGCCGGCCUGAGAGGGUGACCGGCCACAUUGGGACUGAGAUACGGCCCAGACUCCUACGGGAGGCAGCAGUGGGGAAUAUUGCACAAUGGGCGCAAGCCUGAUGCAGCGACGCCGCGUGCGGGAUGGAGGCCUUCGGGUUGUAAACCGCUUUUGUUCAAGGGCAAGGCACGGCUUCGGGCCGUGUUGAGUGGAUUGUUCGAAUAAGCACCGGCUAACUACGUGCCAGCAGCCGCGGUAAUACGUAGGGUGCGAGCGUUAUCCGGAUUUAUUGGGCGUAAAGGGCUCGUAGGCGGUUCGUCGCGUCCGGUGUGAAAGUCCAUCGCCUAACGGUGGAUCUGCGCCGGGUACGGGCGGGCUGGAGUGCGGUAGGGGAGACUGGAAUUCCCGGUGUAACGGUGGAAUGUGUAGAUAUCGGGAAGAACACC
rnacentral:rRNA from 1 species